rnacentral:rRNA from 1 species
AGUGAACGCUGGCGGUAGGCCUAGCACAUGCAAGUCGAACGGCAGCACAGUAAGAGCUUGCUCUUACGGGUGGCGAGUGGCGGACGGGUGAGGAAUACAUCGGAAUCUACUUUUUCGUGGGGGAUAACGUAGGGAAACUUACGCUAAUACCGCAUACGACCUACGGGUGAAAGCAGGGGAUCUUCGGACCUUGCGCGAUUGAAUGAGCCGAUGUCGGAUUAGCUAGUUGGCGGGGUAAAGGCCCACCAAGGCGACGAUCCGUAGCUGGUCUGAGAGGAUGAUCAGCCACACUGGAACUGAGACACGGUCCAGACUCCUACGGGAGGCAGCAGUGGGGAAUAUUGGACAAUGGGCGCAAGCCUGAUCCAGCCAUACCGCGUGGGUGAAGAAGGCCUUCGGGUUGUAAAGCCCUUUUGUUGGGAAAGAAAAGCAGCAGGUUAAUACCCCGCUGUUCCGACGGUACCCAAAGAAUAAGCACCGGCUAACUUCGUG